CCACGCGCCUGGCCAAGUGCGGCUCUGCUCUCCCCAGUCCCGGUCCGCGACCACCCGGAGCCCGCUCCGCCGGCCUUGCGCGGCGCGCCCAGGGAAGGCAUUUCCAGCCCGCCCACCCAGUGGGAUUACAGGCAUGAGCCACUGCACCUGGCCAAUUUUUUAAAUUAGAAUCAGGUGAGAUGCAGUUUUAAAAACAAUUUUAUUGUUAAACAAAUACAUUUUACUGUAAGAUAGUUUUGACUUCACAUUCUACUUUGAAGCGUCAUUGAGACCUCUAGAUGUCCACAGAACACACUUUGAGAACUGCAUACAUAGUUGCCCAAACCAGAAUCCUGGGAGUGAACUUAGUCAUUCCUUUUUUCUUCUUUUCUGAGCUUCAUAAUCAUAGUUAAUAUUUCCUGGGUAAGAUAAUGUGCUAGGCUGUACCCCAAGCCUUCACAUACUAUUAACUCCUUCAAUCUUCCACCAACACUAUAAGACAGGUGCUAAUGACUGUCAUUCCUGGUUUAUAAAUGAGGAAGCUGAGGCACAAGUGUAGUUUGCCUAAGAUCCACAGUAGAGUCUGACUCCAGCUCACCUGUGCUGUGCUGCCUCCAUUUAUCACCAAAUUCCUUUCUCUUCUGUUCCCAAGUCAUUUCCACAUUCAUGCUUUAUUUCCCUCUGCCUUAGUUCAGGACACCAUUCUCUCUUCAGUGCAAUACUCUUCUAACUGGUUUUCCUGACAUGCAUUGCCUCUUGCCUUGGCAACAGGGAUUGUUUCAUGAUAGGACAAAUGUUCCAAGCAGGGCCAAAGUCCUUCCCUCCACGUGAGCUAGCCAAGAAGCCUGCCUCUUGCCUCUAGGGUCACUGUGUCAAAGAAUGUUCACCUGGGGGACCUCCCAUCUGCAGCACUAAAGGACAUGCUGACACAGAGCAGAGGGAGUGUCCUGGUUUAAGUCGUGGAUCCACCUUGGUGGUUCCUAGUAAUGAAAGCCAGUCCAUCACAUUUUAGCUUAAGAUUAUUUUGAGUCAGUUUUAUCAUGUGCAACUGAGAGGAUCAUGACAAAUACACUUGACCUUGUUCUGCCAUUGCCCCUGUGCUUUAUCUAUUUGUAUACAUUACACUAUAGGGUAGUUGUAAUUGCCUGUUUAUUUGUCUGUGUCUCCCACUAGAAGUUCUUAAUUGCACCGUCAACAUUAUGUAUC
rnacentral:lncRNA from 1 species